UACGGAGGGUGCAAACGUUGCUCGGAAUCAUUGGGCGUAAAGCGCACGUAGGCGGCCUGACAAGUCGGGUGUGAAAGCCCUGGACUCAACCCAGGAAGUGCACUCGAAACUGCCAGGCUUGAAUAUGGAAGAGGGUCGCGGAAUUCCCGGUGUAGAGGUGAAAUUCGUAGAUAUCGGGAGGAACACCAGUGGCGAAGGCGGCGACCUGGGCCAAUAUUGACGCUGAGGUGCGAAAGCGUGGGGAGCAAACAGG
rnacentral:rRNA from 1 species